rnacentral:tRNA from 1 species
GCCUGGGUGGCUCAGUCGGUUAAGCAUCCGACUUUGGCUCAGGUCAUGAUCUCGCAGUUUGUGGGUUCAAGCCCCACAUCGGGCU